AUUGAACGCUGGCGGCAGGCCUAACACAUGCAAGUCGAGCGGAUGAAGGGAGCUUGCUCCUGGAUUCAGCGGCGGACGGGUGAGUAAUGCCUAGGAAUCUGCCUGGUAGUGGGGGAUAACGUCCGGAAACGGGCGCUAAUACCGCAUACGUCCUGAGGGAGAAAGUGGGGGAUCUUCGGACCUCACGCUAUCAGAUGAGCCUAGGUCGGAUUAGCUAGUUGGUGGGGUAAAGGCCUACCAAGGCUACGAUCCGUAACUGGUCUGAGAGGAUGAUCAGUCACAAUGGAACUGAGACACGGUCCAGACUCCUACGGGAGGCAGCAGUGGGGAAUAUUGGACAAUGGGCGAAAGCCUGAUCCAGCCAUGCCGCGUGUGUGAAGAAGGUCUUCGGAUUGUAAAGCACUUUAAGUUGGGAGGAAGGGCAGUAAGUUAAUACCUUGCUGUUUUGACGUUACCAACAGAAUAAGCACCGGCUAACUUCGUG
rnacentral:rRNA from 1 species